UGCCUACGGGGGGCAGCAGUGGGGGAUAUUGCACAAUGGGGGAAACCCUGAUGCAGCGACGCCGCGUGGGUGAAGAAGCGCCUCGGCGCGUAAAGCCCUGUCAGCAGGGAAGAAAAUGACGGUACCUGACUAAGAAGCCCCGGCUAACUACGUGCCAGCAGCCGCGGUAAUACGUAGGGGGCAAGCGUUAUCCGGAUUUACUGGGUGUAAAGGGAGCGUAGGCGGCAAGGUAAGCCAGAAGUGAAAGCCCGCGGCUCAACUGCGGGACUGCUUUUGGAACUAUCUAGCUAGAUUGCAGGAGAGGG
rnacentral:rRNA from 1 species